rnacentral:rRNA from 1 species
GACGAACGCUGGCGGCGUGCUUAACACAUGCAAGUCGAACGGAAAGGCCCUGCUUUUGUGGGGUGCUCGAGUGGCGAACGGGUGAGUAACACGUGAGUAACCUGCCCUUGACUUUGGGAUAACUUCAGGAAACUGGGGCUAAUACCGGAUAGGAGCUCCUGCUGCAUGGUGGGGGUUGGAAAGUUUCGGCGGUUGGGGAUGGACUCGCGGCUUAUCAGCUUGUUGGCGGGGUAGUGGCUUACCAAGGCUUUGACGGGUAGCCGGCCUGAGAGGGUGACCGGCCACAUUGGGACUGAGAUACGGCCCAGACUCCUACGGGAGGCAGCAGUGGGGAAUAUUGCUCAAUGGGCGGAAGCCUGAUGCAGCAACGCCGCGUGCGGGAUGACGGCCUUCGGGUUGUAAACCGCUUUCGCCUGUGACGAAGCGUGAGUGACGGUAAUGGGUAAAGAAGCACCGGCUAACUACGUG